rnacentral:rRNA from 1 species
AUUGAACGCUGGCGGAAUGCUUUACACAUGCAAGUCGAACGGCAGCACGGACUUCGGUCUGGUGGCGAGUGGCGAACGGGUGAGUAAUGUAUCGGAACGUGCCCAGUCGUGGGGGAUAACGUAGUGAAAAUUACGCUAAUACCGCAUACGAUCUAUGGAUGAAAGCGGGGGAUCGCAAGACCUCGCGCGAUUGGAGCGGCCGAUAUCAGAUUAGGUAGUUGGUGGGGUAAAGGCCCACCAAGCCAACGAUCUGUAGCUGGUCUGAGAGGACGACCAGCCACACUGGAACUGAGACACGGUCCAGACUCCUACGGGAGGCAGCAGUGGGGAAUUUUGGACAAUGGGCGAAAGCCUGAUCCAGCCAUUCCGCGUGCAGGAUGAAGGCCCUCGGGUUAAACUGCUUUUGUACAGAACGAAAAGGUUUCUACUAAUACUAGGAGCUCAUGACGGUACUGUAAGAAUAAGCACCGGCUAACUACGUGCCAGCCGCCGCAGUAA